GUACAACAACUAUGACCGGGCUGUCAUCAAUACCGUUCCUUAUGAUGUCGUCCAUCGCUGGUAUACAGCACACCGGACUCUAACGAUAGAGUUGAGGAGACCUGAGAAUGAGUUUUGGGUCAAACUAAAGCCUGGCAGGGUCCUAUUUAUAGACAACUGGCGUGUCCUACAUGGCAGGGAAUGCUUCACUGGCUACCGCCAACUGUGUGGCUGCUAUUUAACAAGAGAUGAUGUAUUAAACACUGCUCGCCUCUUGGGGCUUCAGGCUUAA
rnacentral:lncRNA from 1 species